rnacentral:rRNA from 1 species
AUACGUAGGGAGCGAGCGUUGUCCGGAAUUACUGGGCGUAAAGGGCGUGUAGGCGGUCUUGCAAGUCAGAAGUGAAAUUCCUGAGCUCAACUCGGGCGCUGCUUCUGAAACUGCAGGACUUGAGUGCUGGAGGGGAUAGCGGAAUUCCUAGUGGAGCGGUAAAAUGCGCAGAUAUUAGGAAGAACACCGGUGGCGAAGGCGGCUAUCUGGACAGUAACUGACGCUGAGGCGCGAAAGCGUGGGGAGCAAACAGGAUUAGAUACCCUGGUAGUCCACGCGGUAAACGAUGAAUACUAGGUGUGGGGGGACUGACCCCUUCCGUGCCGCAGUUAACACAAUAAGUAAUCCACCUGGGGAGUACGGCCGCAAGGUUGAAACUCAAAUGAAUUGACGGGG